rnacentral:rRNA from 1 species
AGAGUUUGAUCAUGGCUCAGGACGAACGCUGGCGGCGUGCUUAACACAUGCAAGUGGAGCGACGAACCAGGGCUUGCCCUGGGGCAGAGCCGCGAACGGGUGAGUAACACGUGGGUCACCUGCCUUGAUGACCGGGACAACCCGAGGAAACUCGGGCUAAUACCGGAUGUGCCCGCAAGGGGAAAGGAAGCUUCGGCCUCCGCAUCGAGAUGGGCCCGCGGCCCAUUAGCUUGUUGGUGAGGUAACGGCUCACCAAGGCUCCGAUGGGUAGCUGGUCUGAGAGGACGAUCAGCCACACUGGGACUGAGACACGGCCCAGACUCCUACGGGAGGCAGCAGUGGGGAAUCUUGCGCAAUGCGCGAAAGCGUGACGCAGCAACGCCGCGUGGGGGAAGAAGGCUUUCGGGUUGUAAACCCCUUUCAGUUGGGACGAAGCUUCGCCGGUGAAUAGCCGGCCGGAGUGACGGUACCUUCACAAGAAGCACCGGCUAACUACGUGCCAGCAGCCGCGGUAAUACGUAGGGUGCAAGCGUUGUCCGGAAUUAUUGGGCGUAAAGAGCGUGUAGGCGGCCCGAUUAGUCCGCUGUGAAAGUCCAAGGCUCAACCUUGGAAAGCCGGUGGAUACUGUCGGGCUAGAGUCCGGAAGGGGCGAGUGGAAUUCCUGGUGUAGCGGUGAAAUGCGCAGAUAUCAGGAGGAACACCAAUGGCGAAGGCAGCUCGCUGGGACGUGACUGACGCUGAGACGCGAAAGCGUGGGGAGCAAACAGGAUUAGAUACCCCGGUAGUCC